GUGCCAGCCGCCGCGGUAAUACGGAGGGUGCAAGCGUUAAUCGGAUUUACUGGGCGUAAAGCGCGCGUAGGCGGCCAAUUAAGUCAAAUGUGAAAUCCCCGAGCUUAACUUGGGAAUUGCAUUCGAUACUGGUUGGCUAGAGUGUGGGAGAGGAUGGAAGAAUUCCAGGUGUAGCGGUGAAAUGCGUAGAGAUCUGGAGGAAUACCGAUGGCGAAGGCAGCCAUCUGGCCUAACACUGACGCUGGGGUGCGAAAGCAUGGGGAGCAAACAGGAUUAGAUA
rnacentral:rRNA from 1 species